CGGGGUUAAAAAACAAAAAAAGGGAAACGAAAAGAAUGGAGAAGCAGAUCUGAUUCAUGUGCGCAAUACAUAAAAUAUACAGGACGAGUCAACCUCCGUCCAGCUGACACCACAGCUGGCCUCCACCAUCAUGCGGCGAGUGGUCGUUUUUGGAGCGCUCCCCUGGGCUGCCGUGUUGGUUCUGCUCGGAGCCUCCGUUGAAGCUGCAGCUGGCGUGGUUCGUCUCCAGCAGGUGGCUUACCAGGGCGAGGCGGUCACGUUGCCGUCCGACGGCGACCCGACCCAGACGCUGGCGUCUAUUAAAUGGUCAGUGUUCUUCAACGAGACUUGGAUCGCCACCUUUCACGGCGGGAAGAUAAACACGGAGCGGUUCUUCCUGUUCAGGGGACGACUCACUCUCAACACUUCGUCGGGCGACUUGACGAUCCGCAACCUGAGCCAAGAGGACGCGGGAGACUACAGCGUGGAGCUGGUGGACACAGAGAAGCGCAGUGUGGAGAGAGUGGUGACGCUGGUGGUUAAAAGACACCUCCAGAAACCAAGCGUCGAGACGCUGUUCUCUGUGCAUAAGGACAGCAGCUGCUGGGUGGGACUCCGCUGUUUGUCCCCGGAUUUGGGCACCAAUCUCUCCUGGAAGAUGGAACCCUCGCUUCGGACCGCCUACAACAUGUUCGACCCCGACGGCGGGGCCGGGGUUCUUCUCGUCCUCGUCGCAGUCCGCAACAGCACACACUUUACCUGUACCUCCAGCCGCGAUCCGGAAAACAUCUCCAACACCAUCCGCAUCCAGUGUGCGAUGACGUCAGGGCGGCAGACCCGCGGUCGGGACAGCCUUUUUGUCUUGGCGGGACUCGUCAGUGGCGGCUUUCUGAUGGCCGUUUUGCUCAAGCACUUGCAAGGUGACCGCCAAAGAGUUAGCACGUAGCUAUCUGGUAGCAUCAGCGCAUGGAUGGGCAAUUAACCUUUUGUUUAUGGGGCAAGAAGAUAAAGAAGAAGUCAAAGGAGCAAGAGAAGAAAAUGGAUAGAUGGGAUUGGCGAUUGUUUCGGGGCUACAUUACAUCGGGAAAGUCCUCACAGUGCUUCACUUCCCAUUUUGCUGUAUUGCAAAACUGAUGUAUUUCAACCCAAAAUCGACUGUAUGUGACUUGAGUAUUUAUUUUUCUGACAACUUUGUACUUUUUAUCCCUACAUUGGACGUGUUUUGAAUUUGAAUGAAUGUUUUUGAAAUACGAGGCAUCGCAUGGGCAGUUGUUUUCCUU